AGAGAGGCCAGAAGAAGAAAUCAGAACAUCACUCGCUACUGUUAAAACUGAAAGAAAUUAGUAAGGGUCAUGUUUUGUGCCUACUCAAAGUUAAUGUAUAGCCAUAUAGAUGGUCACUUCUCGAUGGCUAUGGAUUUUUCAAUUUUGUUUUUAAAUUUAAUACUUAAAGUAACACUUAAACCAACAUCACAAAUGGGGCAUGCAAUUUAUAUUUACCAGAAAUCUCUUAGUACAUUACUUCACCGUUUUAUGCAUGGAUGGUAUUUUAUAGGUUUCAGAAUAUGUUGAAGUCAUUUAGACGAUGUUUUCAUUUUCUCUUCCUUAGAGUUAAUAUGUUUUCUUCAUGCAAUUUACCUUGUGUUAUCUUCUUCCUAACCUUCAUUCCAAUUUAUUGCCUAUCUU
rnacentral:lncRNA from 1 species